GUAUCCGUAGCUUAACUGGAUAAAGCAUUCCCCUCCGAAGGGAAAGAGUGUCAGUUCAAACCUGAUCGGAUACA
rnacentral:tRNA from 1 species